rnacentral:misc_RNA from 1 species
AAACGUCUGUAAUUCUUUUCAAUCGGGUAUGGCCUACUAAAUAAGAGUCACAUGAGCAGAAAGUGGGAAAUGGGUUUUCAAGUAGUGUCCAUGGUUAUUGGGUGUGUUUUAACACUAUAUGCACAUUCAAGUUACCAGCAUAAUCCAGGUUCCAAUGGCUGUAUGCUGAAGGCUUUUGGUGGGAAUGCUUUUGUCUGUGUUUGUAACUCCACAUAUUGUGACAAGGUGGAGAACACCGACCCACAAAAGGCAAGCAAGGGAGGCUACUCCAUGUACCAGUCCGACAUCACAGGGAAGCGCCUACUUCAUAGCUAUGGCAGUGCUAGCAAACAGGCCUGUGGAUUAGAGGUCUUGGUGAAUCUGAACAACACGUUUCAGUCCAUCAUUGGCUUUGGUGGAGCCUUCACUGAUGCCGCAGGGAUCAACAUCCAGUCCUUGUCGGCCAGCACUCAGAAGAACUUGCUGGCUUCCUACUUUUCAACAGAAGGUAUUGAGUAUACAUUGGGAAGAAUUCCUAUGGCUAGCUGUGAUUUUUCCAUGCAUCCAUAUUCCUAUGAUGACAAUAGCGGGGAUUUCAAUUUGACCAAAUUUUCGUUAACCCAAGAAGACAAAAAGUUUAAAAUUCCUAUCAUACAAGCAGUCAUGAGGACAUACAAAAGAAACUUGACAUUAUUUGCGAGCCCCUGGAGUGCUCCCGCCUGGAUGAAAACCAACAAAAACAUGACUGGGAAGGGGACCCUGGUUGGAGAGCCCGGCGGGCCAUACUUCAAGACCUGGGCAAUGUAUUUUGUGAAGUUUUUGAAAGCUUAUGCUAAGGAAGGUAUUCCUAUCUGGGGUGUAACCGGGCAGAACGAGCCUACUGAUGGGUUCAUCACAAACUUCUCAUUUCAAGCUAUGGGCUGGACACCUGAAAUGCAGAGAGACUUCAUUGUGAAGGAUCUGGGUCCUGCACUACAACAGAACUCUCUUGGGCAUGUGAAAAUAAUGAUUCUAGAUGACUCCAGACUGCAGCUCCCAUACUGGGCAGAACAGGUUUUCAGAAGUGAGGAAGCCAGAAAAUAUGUAUCAGGAGUAGCUGUUCACUGGUAUCAGGAUUUUAUAACCCCAGCUGUGGCCCUCUCCAGUACCCAUAAAAAAUUCCCAGAGAAAUUCAUACUAGCUACUGAGGCCUGCUCUGGGGCCAUGCCAUGGGAUAUCCCCAAAGUAUCUCUAGGGAGAUGGAAAAGAGGCGAGGACUACGCUCAUGAUAUUAUACAGGACUUGAAUAACUUUGUAAGUGGGUGGACCGACUGGAACAUUGCCCUGAACAUGGAGGGUGGACCAAACUGGGUAAAAAACUUUGUAGACAGUCCAGUGAUUGUUAAUGCUAAGAGCGAUGAAUUCUACAAGCAACCUAUGUUUUAUGCACUAGGCCAUUUCAGCAAGUUUAUUCUACCCAUGUCAAAAAGAGUUGAGCUGGUACCAAACCAAAAUCUUCCAAAAGAUAUGUACAUUGUUGGAUUUCAAAGACCAGACAAAGCCAUUGCUUGUAUAUUACUCAACAGUUCAUUAAAAACUAGAGAUGAUUUUCUCGGGUAAAGAACAGACUACCUGAUCAAAUGAAAAUAUAACAUUGGCACUUCGAGAUCCUUCCACAGGGUAUAUAAAUACUGACCUAACACCUCAUUCAAUACAGACUGUAUUGUGGUGGCCUUCCUAGCCAUGUUGGCUGUAACAAUCAUUUGAUGUCUUCAGUUAUUGAUCAUCUGUGAUAGUCUGAACAGUGCAAUAUACAAGUAUAUUAAUUUUUCUUUCAUCUUCCUUGUUUAUUUUUUUAUUAUGAAUCCAUUGUGAAAGUCAGUAUAAUGUAUAACAUUGUAUAUAUACGCUUUCCAAUGACUUUGUUUGUAAUAAAUGUACUACAAAUC